GUUUCUACGGUGUAAGUUGCACGUUAGAUUUUCAUUCUAAAGGAAUAAAAUUAUUUAUUAGAAAUA
rnacentral:tRNA from 1 species